UGAGUAGCUCUGGUUGUUAUCCUUCCUU
rnacentral:piRNA from 1 species